rnacentral:pre_miRNA from 1 species
UCUUAUGGAUGAGCAAAGAAAGUGGUUUCUUGAGAUGGAAUCUACUCCUGGUGAAGAUGCUGUGAC